AUUGAACGCUGGCGGCAGGCCUAACACAUGCAAGUCGAGCGGAUGACGGGAGCUUGCUCCUUGAUUCAGCGGCGGACGGGUGAGUAAUGCCUAGGAAUCUGCCUGGUAGUGGGGGACAACGUUUCGAAAGGAACGCUAAUACCGCAUACGUCCUACGGGAGAAAGCAGGGGACCUUCGGGCCUUGCGCUAUCAGAUGAGCCUAGGUCGGAUUAGCUAGUAGGUGAGGUAAGGGCUCACCUAGGCGACGACCCGUAACUGGUAUGAGAGGAUGAUCAGUCACACUGGAACUGAGACACGGGCCAGGCUCCUACGGGAGGCAGCAGUGGGGAAUAUUGUACAAUGGGCGAAAGCCUGAGCCAGCCAUGCCGCGUGUGUGAAGAAGGUCUUCGGAUUGUAAAGCACUUUAAGUUGGGAGGAAGGGCAGUAAGCUGAUACCUUGCUGUUUUGACGUUACCGACAGAAUAAGCACCGGCUAACUCUGUGCCAGCCGCCGCGGUAAGAC
rnacentral:rRNA from 1 species